rnacentral:rRNA from 1 species
GAUGAACGCUGGCGGCGUGCCUAAUACAUGCAAGUCGAGCGAACAGACGAGGAGCUUGCUCCUCUGACGUUAGCGGCGGACGGGUGAGUAACACGUGGAUAACCUACCUAUAAGACUGGGAUAACUUCGGGAAACCGGAGCUAAUACCGGAUAAUAUAUUGAACCGCAUGGUUCAAUAGUGAAAGACGGUUUUGCUGUCACUUAUAGAUGGAUCCGCGCCGCAUUAGCUAGUUGGUAAGGUAACGGCUUACCAAGGCGACGAUGCGUAGCCGACCUGAGAGGGUGAGCGGCCACACUGGAACUGAGACACGGUCCAGACUCCUACGGGAGGCAGCAGUAGGGAAUCUUCCGCAAUGGGCGAAAGCCUGACGGAGCAACGCCGCGUGAGUGAUGAAGGUCUUCGGAUCGUAAAACUCUGUUAUUAGGGAAGAACAAAUGUGUAAGUAACUAUGCACGUCUUGACGGUACCUAAUCAGAAAGCCACGGUUAACUACGUG